UCGGGAAUUUUGGGCAAUGGGCGAAAGCCUGACCCAGCAACGCCGCGUGAAGGAUGAAGUAUUUCGGUAUGUAAACUUCGUAAGAAUAGGAAGAAUAAAUGACGGUACUAUUUGUAAGGUCCGGCUAACUACGUGCCAGCAGCCGCGGUAAUACGUAGGGACCAAGCGUUGUUCGGAUUUACUGGGCGUAAAGGGCGCGUAGGCGGUGUGUCAAGUCAGUUGUGAAAUCUCCGAGCUUAACUCGGAACGGUCAACUGAUACUGUCACACUAGAGUACAGAAGGGGCAAUCGGAAUUCUUGGUGUAGCGGUGAAAUGCGUAGAUAUCAAGAGGAACACCUGAGGCGAAGGCGGGUUGCUGGGCUGACACUGACGCUGAGGUGCGAAAGCCAGGGGAGCAAACGGGAUUAGAUACCCACGUAGUCCCUGAGCGGGCUGGCAAGGCGCAU
rnacentral:rRNA from 1 species